UACGUAGGGCGCAAGCGUUGUCCGGAAUUAUUGGGCGUAAAGAGCUCGUAGGCGGCUUGUCGCGUCGGAUGUGAAAGCCCGGGGCUUAACCCCGGGUCUGCAUUCGAUACGGGCAGGCUAGAGUGUGGUAGGGGAGAUCGGAAUUCCUGGUGUAGCGGUGAAAUGCGCAGAUAUCAGGAAGAACACCCGUGGCGAAAGCGGCUCUCUGGAACGGUACUGACGCUGAGACGCGAAAGCGUGGGGAGCGAACAAG
rnacentral:rRNA from 1 species